AUGAGGAAGAGGGCUCUGCUGAGGUUGUUGUUACAUUCCAGUGAUGAGGAAGAUGGCCCUGCUGAGGUUGUUGUUACAAUCCAGUGAUAUGGAAGAGGGUCCUGCUGAGGUUGUCGUUACAUUCCAGUGAUGAGGAAGAGGGCCCUGUUGAGGUUGUUGUUACAUUCCAGUGAUGAGGAAAAGGGCCCUGCUGAGGUUGUUGUUACAAUCCAGUGAUGAGGAUGAGGGCCCUGCUGAGGUUGUUGUUACAUUCCAGUGAUGAGGAAGAGGGCCCUGCUGAGGUUGUUGUUACAAUCCAGUGAUGAGGACGAGGGCCCUGCUGAGGUUGUUGUUACAUUCCAGUGAUGAGGAAGAGGGCCCUGCUGAGGUUGUUGUUACAUUCCAGUGAUGAGGAAGAGGGCCCUGCUGAGAUUGUUGUUACAUUCCAGUGAUGAGGACGAGGGCCCUGCUGACGUUGUUGUUACAUUCCAGUGAUGAGGAAGAGGGCCCUGCUGAGGUUGUUGUUACAUUCCAGUGAUGAGGAAGAGGGCCCUGCUGAGGUUGUUGUUACAUUCCAGUGAUGAGGAAGAGGGCCCUGCUGAGGUUGUUGUUACAUUCCAGUGAUGAGGAAGAGGGCCAUGCUGAGGUUGUUGUUACAUUCCAGUGAUGAGGAAGAGGGCCCUGUUGAGGUUGUUGUUACAUUCCAGUGAUGAGGAAAAGGGCCCUGCUGAGGUUGUUGUUACAAUCCAGUGAUGAGGAUGAGGGCCCUGCUGAGGUUGUUGUUACAUUCCAGUGAUGAGGAAGAGGGCCCUGCUGAGGUUGUUGUUACAAUCCAGUGAUGAGGACGAGGGCCCUGCUGAGGUUGUUGUUACAUUCCAGUGAUGAGGAAGAGGGCCCUGCUGAGGUUGUUGUUACAUUCCAGUGAUGAGGAAGAGGGCCCUGCUGAGAUUGUUGUUACAUUCCAGUGAUGAGGACGAGGGCCCUGCUGAGGUUGUUGUUACAUUCCAGUGAUGAGGAAGAGGGCCCUGCUGAGGUUGUUGUUACAUUCCAGUGAUGAGGAAGAGGGCCCUGCUGAGGUUGUUGUUACAAUCCAGUGAUGAGGAAGGGGGCCCUGCUGAGGUUGUUGUUACAUUCCAGUGAUGAGGAAGAGGGCCCUGCUGAGGUUGUUGUUACAUUCCAGUGAUGAGGAAGAGGGCCAUGCUGAGGUUGUUGUUACAUUCCAGUGAUGAGGAAGAGGGCCAUGCUGAGGUUGAUGUUACAUUCCAGUGAUGAGGAAGAGGGCCAUGCUGAGGUCGUUGUUACAUUCCAGUGAUGAGGAAGAGGGCUCUGCUGAGGUUGCUGUUACAUUCCAGUGAUGAGGAAGAGGGCCCUGCUGAGGUUGCUGUUACAUUCCAGUGAUGAGGAAGAGGGCUCUGCUGAGGUUGUUGUUACAUUCCAGUGAUGAGGAAGAGGGCUCUGCUGAGGUUGCUGUUACAUUCCAGUGAUGAGGAAGAGGGCCCUGCUGAGGUUGUUGUUAUAUUCCAGUGAUGAGGAAGGGGGCCCUGCUGAGGGCGUUACAUUCCGGUCAAAGAAUGGGAAUUUGUUAUGACCCCAGGGCCAAUGAGAGACGCCAUAUCCCGGGUUGAUGACAUACAAUCCUGCCAUGAUUGAAACAUUUGAAAUGGUUUCAAAACAAAUGUCCUUGUUAAACUUUGACACGAAGUAGGCAGUUAUAAAUAGCACAAUAUGUUUUAAUCUGACCAUUUGUUAUAGUCAAAAUAAUCCCUACAUUAUG